AGCGAACGCUGGCGGCAGGCUUAACACAUGCAAGUCGAGCGGGCGUAGCAAUACGUCAGCGGCAGACGGGUGAGUAACGCGUGGGAACAUACCUUUUGGUUCGGAACAACACAGGGAAACUUGUGCUAAUACCGGAUAAGCCCUUACGGGGAAAGAUUUAUCGCCGAAAGAUUGGCCCGCGUCUGAUUAGCUAGUUGGUGAGGUAACGGCUCACCAAGGCGACGAUCAGUAGCUGGCUGAGAGGAUGAUCAGCCACAUUGGGACUGAGACACGGCCCAAACUCCUACGGGAGGCAGCAGUGGGGAAUAUUGGACAAUGGGCGCAAGCCUGAUCCAGCCAUGCCGCGUGAGUGAUGAAGGCCCUAGGGUUGUAAAGCUCUUUGUGCGGGAAGAUAAUGACGGUACCGCAAGAAUAAGCCCCGGGCUAACUUCGUGCCAGCAGCCGCCGCUGUAAU
rnacentral:rRNA from 1 species